GCACAAGCGGUGGGAGUAUGUGGUUUAAUUCGGACGCAACGCGCAGAACCUUACCUGGUCUUGACAUCCCGGGCAAUCAUUUGGAAACAUUUGAGUGCCUCAUUAGAGGAGCCUGGUGACAGGUGCUGCAUGGCUGUCGUCAGCUCGUGUCGUGAGAUGUUGGGUUAAGUCCCGCAACGAGCGCAACCCUUAUCUUUAGUUGCCAUCAUUAAGUUGGGCACUCUACUGAGACUGCCGGUGUCAAACCGGAGGAAGGUGGGGAUGACGUCAAGUCCCCAUGGCCUUUAUGAUCAGGGCUACACACGUACUACAAUGGCCGAUACAAAGGGCAGCCACAGGGCGACCUGGAGCGAAUCCCGUAAAAUCGGUCUCAGUCCGGAUUGGAGUCUGCAACUCGACUCCAUGAAGUUGGAAUCGCUAGUAAUCGUGGAUCAGCAUGCCACGGUGAAUACGUUGCCCGGGCCUUGUACACACCGCCCG
rnacentral:rRNA from 1 species